ACUUCGGUGGGGAUUAGUGGCGAACGGGUGAGUAACACGUGGGCAAUCUGCCCUUCACUCUGGGACAAGCCCUGGAAACGGGGUCUAAUACCGGAUAUGAGCCUGGGAGGCAUCUCCCGGGUUGUAAGCUCCGGCGGUGAAGGAUGAGCCCGCGGCCUAUCAGCUUGUUGGUGAGGUAAUGGCUCACCAAGGCGACGACGGGUAGCCGGCCUGAGAGGGCGACCGGCCACACUGGGACUGAGACACGGCCCAGAUCCUACGGGAGGCAGCAGUGGGGAAUAUUGCACAAUGGGCGAAAGCCUGAUGCAGCGACGCCGCGUGAGGGAUGACGGCCUUCGGGUUGUAAACCUCUUUCAGCAGGGAAGAAGCGAGAGUGACGGUCCUGCAGAAGAAGCGCCGGCUAACUACGUGCCAGCAGCCGCGGUAAUACGUAGGGCGCAAGCGUUGUCCGGAAUUAUUGGGCGUAAAGAGCUCGUAGGCGGCUUGUCGCGUCGAUUGUGAAAGCCCGGGCUUAACCCCGGGUCUGCAGUCGAUACGGGCUAGCUAGAGUGUGGUAGGGGAGAUCGGAAUUCCUGGUGUAGCGGUGAAAUGCGCAGAUAUCAGGAGGAACACCGGUGGCGAAGGCGGAUCUCUGGCCAUUACUGACGCUGAGGAGCGAAAGCGUGGGGAGCGAACAGGAUUAGAUACCCUGGUAGUCCACGCCGUAAACGGUGGGAACUAGGUGUUGGCGACAUUCCACGUCGUCGGUGCCGCAGCUAACGCUUAAGUUCCCCGCCUGGGGAGUACGGCCGCAAGGCUAAAACUCAAAGGAAUUGACGGGGGCCCGCACAAGCGGCGGAGCAUGUGGCUUAAUUCGACGCAACGCGAAGAACCUUACCAAGGCUUGACAACACCGGAAAACCCUGGAGACAGGGUCCCCCUUGUGGUCGGUGUACAGGUGGUGCAUGGCUGUCGUCAGCUCGUGUCGUGAGAUGUUGGGUUAAGUCCCGCAACGAGCGCAACCCUUGUCCCGUGUUCCAGCAGGCCCUUGUGGUGCUGGGGACUCACGGGAGACCGCCGGGGUCAACUCGGAGGAAGGUGGGGACGACGUCAAGUCAUCAUGCCCCUUAUGUCUUGGGCUGCACACGUGCUACAAUGGCCGGUCAAUGAGCUGCGAUACCGUGAGGUGGAGCGAAUCUCAAAAAGCCGGUCUCAGUUCGGAUUGGGGUCUGCAACUCGACCCCAUGAAGUCGGAGUCGCUAGUAAUCGCAGAUCAGCAUUGCUGCGGUGAUACGUUCCCGGGCCUUGUACACACCGCCCGUCACGUCACGAAAGUCGGUAACACCCGAAGCCGGUGGCCCAACCCCU
rnacentral:rRNA from 1 species